rnacentral:lncRNA from 1 species
UUUAGGCAAUCAGUCUAAAUUUGUCAUCACACAUCCCCCAUUUCCGCCCCUCAGGGCCUCCUUUUCAUCCCCUGGAAUCUGGAAACCAUAUGCGUGGGCAGAAACCCCCCAGCAUCCCCCACCGCACCCUGACCCAAUGUGGCCUCCACAGGGCCAGCCAUGCUAUCUGGGGAAGAGCCUAUGCUCCAGGCUGGGGCUGGAAAGGGAGUUUCUCUUUGGACCUUCCCAGUUUAAGCAGUGGCAAGGCCGUGUGGUCUAGUGGUUAGGGCUAGACUGCAUGUCCCCAGCAAUCUUUUUAAAGCCAGAAGCCUGGGAAAGUCCCCUUGGCACCUAUGGACUCAGUUUCCCUAUUCACCAAGGGGCUCAGAGCAUCACUAACUAUAUCAUCUCCUACCUGCCUGGGUAAAAGAGUUUUCACUUCAAAAUUUCUGCUCUGUCACCUACAAUCUGUGUGACCUUGACAAAUUGCUUAGUCUUUCUGAACUUCAAUUUCCUCAUCUAUAAAUUAGAGGUUUUUGUACCUACCACCUGGUU